CAAACCAAAGCUGGCGACCGGCGCACGGGUGAGUAACACGUAUCCAACCUGCCUCAUACUCGGGGAUAGCCUUUCGAAAGAAAGAUUAAUAUCCGAUAGCAUAUAUUUCCCGCAUGGGUUUUAUAUUAAAGAAAUUCGGUAUGAGAUGGGGAUGCGUUCCAUUAGUUUGUUGGGGGGGUAACGGGCCCACCAAGACUACGAUGGAUAGGGGUUCUGAGAGGAAGGUCCCCCCACAUUGGAACUGAGACACGGUCCAAACUCCUACGGGAGGCAGCAUG
rnacentral:rRNA from 1 species